rnacentral:rRNA from 1 species
ACCGCAUGUGACCGCAAGGUCAAAGUUGGGGAUCGUAAGACCUGACGCUUUGAGAUGAGGCUGCGGCCUAUCAGGUAGUUGGCGGGGUAAUGGCCCACCAAGCCUAAGACGGGUAGCUGGUCUGAGAGGACGACCAGCCACACUGGAACUGAGGCACGGUCCAGACACCUACGGGUGGCAGCAGUCGAGGAUUUUUCUCAAUGGGGGAAACCCUGAAGGAGCGACGCCGCGUGAGGGAUGAAGGUCUUCGGAUUGUAAACCUCUGUCAUCUGGGAACAAUGUGAUCUACCUAACACGUGGAUUAUUGAUAGUACCGGAAGAGGAAGCAGUGGCUAACUCUGUGCCAGCAGCCGCGGUAAUACAGAGACUGCAAGCGUUGUUCGGAUUCAUUGGGCGUAAAGGGUGCGCAGGCGGUCGGGUAAGUCGGAUGUGAAAUCUCACAGCCUAACUGUGAUAGGUCAUUCGAAACU